AGUGGCGGACGGGUGAGUAACGCGUGGGUAACCUGCUCAUACAGGGGGAUAACAGUUAGAAAUGACUGCUAAUACCGCAUAAGACCACAGCACCGCAUGGUGCAGGGGUAAAAACUCCGGUGGUAUGAGAUGGACCCGCGUCUGAUUAGGUAGUUGGUGGGGUAACGGCCUACCAAGCCGACGAUCAGUAGCCGACCUGAGAGGGUGACCGGCCACAUUGGGACUGAGACACGGCCCAA
rnacentral:rRNA from 1 species